rnacentral:tRNA from 1 species
GGGCCGGUAGCUCAGUGGUAGAGCAGGAGACUUUUAAUCUCUUGGUCGUGGGUUCGACCCCCACCCGGCUCA